UCGUGCUAGGUGGGGAGUUAGCGGUGCCCUGUACCCGCAAUCCGCUUCAGCGGGGCUGAAUGCCCGUCCGAGAUCGAAAUUGAAGGGACUGCGGACGCCAGGCGGCGUUGAGAGCCUGGUCCCGUGCGGCGACGUCCGGUGAACUCCGCCAGGGCCGGAAGGCAGCAACGGUAAGCUGAUCGCGUCGGGUGCCACGGGGUCGCCGGGUUUGAGCAGGCCAGCACGAGCAAGCCGGCAAGAUCGACCGACGGCGGGGCACGG
rnacentral:SRP_RNA from 1 species